rnacentral:misc_RNA from 1 species
GAAAUAAACCUGAUAGGUUGUUGCUGGUUCUCUCGGGAGCAUGUGCACACUUGUCAUCUUUAUAUCUCCACCUGUGCACCUUUGUAAAUCUGAAUAUCUUUCUGAAUGCCUGGCAUUCAGGUUUGAGGAUUGAUCUUUUUCUUUCCUUACAUUUUCAGGUUUAUGUUUUUCAUAUACCCCAAGUAUGUUAUAGAAUGUUAUAAACGGGCCUUUGUGCCUAUAAUAAAUUUAUACAACUUUCAGCAACGGAUCUCUUGGCUCU